rnacentral:tmRNA from 1 species
GGGGGUGACAGGACUCGACGUGUUCUUUAGGUCUUGGAGCAGCAUGCAGAGGUUCCAGGUGGCCUCUUUAAAAACCUGGAAAACAAUAAACGCAGACUACAAUCCAGUAGCCGAAGCCGAGUCUAUCUUGGCUGAGGAUGCGUUAAAUGUUCCCUCUAUGAUGGGAACUGGUUCAUUAGUUGGCGCCUUGGCCAUCUAAAUAGGACCUAAACUAACAAGGACUGCUGUAGUGAUUUCUCCUAGCUUCAGCCAGUAUCAGGAGAAUGCUCCCGGAAGGUUCCCCGUCUAUCGGGUCUUCCCGGAAAAGAUCAAUAGGUAGACUAAGCAUGUAGAUACUCCUCGGUCAAAGUUCCCGGACCCGGGUUCGAAUCCCGGCACCUCCACCA